rnacentral:piRNA from 1 species
CCCCUCAUGGUUGUUGGACUCUGCCU